CUCUUCUGUGACGCAGUUUCUAUAAUCGCAGUUUUCAAAGGGCUUAACCUUGUGGUUUGGAGCUUAAUUUUCACGCCCCCCGCCCCGCCCUGCUCCUCCACUUUCAGAAGCCUGACGUUGGUCACGCAAAGCGCCAGACAGCGGUUAUGCAAAACGCCCUCUAGAGGCUCUCUGUGGCAUUCUAGUUAAAUCCAGGGGAGGUUCUCAACUGCUCCUUGACGCCAAAAGUGGGCAGCCAACCUGCAUCGCCAGCGGUGAAAUGGAAUUGCCCAGUAUUUGUAGUGAACAGCAGAGGAAAGGAACACACACGGAGAAGGAGGUUCAGAGUAGAGCAGUAUCACCACUGACUAUGGUCAUCAUAACCAGAGGAGCCGGCUAGAACAGGCAGAACAGGCAGCGGACUUCCAUACAGUGUUGAACAGAACUGGGGAGAAUGAGUGUAACUGUCUGAUUUCUGAUCUUACCAGGGAUGCAUUCAGGCUUUCAGCACUAAGUAUGAUGCUUAAACUCAAGGCCUUCAUCAAAAGCUGAGCAAAUGCUGCCACCGUAUUCUUAGACUUUCCCUCCUCCAGAACUGU